AGAAAACAGUUAGGUUGUCGCAGUCUUCGUUCGUCUAAUCCAUAAUGAAGACCUUUGCAACUGCUGUCAUCCUGUUGGCGAUGCUGUCGAGUUGUUCCGUUACGGGCGAUGGAAUCUAUCCAGCACCAUUUGGCUAUUACCCUGGUGCAAGUGGAGCAUCGCAGCUGUACCAGUUUCGCUUGCAACCGAUAUCCGGACUUCCCUCUUAUCUCUAUCUGCCCUCGGCAGCAGCCUAUCAUGGUAAUGCGGGAUAUUACCACGGUCCAGCUGCAGCCCGAAGAGAAUAUCACCAACGGCCAAGAUCAAUUAUGUCUCGCUUUCACCCAAAACAAUAUUUCAAAUUUUUCAAAAAUCUAUAAUAAAAGUA